CUUCGGCUGGUCGCUGGAGAUAAAAAAAAAAAUUAAGGAUCGCACGUUGAAGACGGGAGAGCGUUUCAGACAGUCUCAACUGAUAGACAGACGCAUCGAGUUGCCUUUCCUGCUCCUCUACACUCCACCCCUCCAGGAGCGUCACUCUGACAGUGAAAUCCGAGCUGUCAAUCUUUUUAAUUGCUCUGUUUUCUUUUUUUCUCUCUUCCUCCUCCCGAACAGGGUGGAAUGGAGUGAAAAAGGGAAGCUGCUUGUUUUCUGCUUUCUUUUUAGUGAUAAUAAUAAUAAUAAUAAUAAAAAAUAAAAGAUACUUUUUUUUCCUAACACGUGACUACAGCAUAUUUACGCGCGCCUUGUGAUCUCUGCAAGGAAGACACAGAUAAAGAAAAUUACUUUACGCACAACUUUACGCAAGAAAUCUUUGCUGCAUUACGCACUGGUGAUGACAUCAUUGCUGAGAACAGACAUAGUGGCGACAAAAAAAAGGCUGAAUCUAAGGAUAUAUGAUUAAAACAACAAUAACAAAAAAAUCUUCAAUAAAGAGCCGACUUAAGACGUGUGUUGAGGACUAGCUGAGAAUCCAUCAGAUAAGGGAGCAUAAUUAAAAUGUCAGCCUGCUCAGAGGAACGACUCGGUAUGUGACCCGUCACAGCUUUACAUAACUCAUUUCUCCUAUAGUUUAACUAAGUGCUCACACAAAGCACGCAAACUUUCAGUAUGACUCUUUAACCCGUUCAGAAAACCCAGAAACAGUUAAUGUGUUGAUCGGUAUACUGAAUUAACAUGUCAUAAACACAAGCAACUGUAAAGUGAUGCUAAGAGUUUGAUUAGAGUGAUUUGUGCUGGGAUUUAUGAAGUGGAGUACAGACAUCAAAUUAUUUCUUCAAAGCUUCUUUUUUCAAAAACACAACAUUAAAUAAUGAAAUUGGAAUUAGAAGCACUGACAUACCAGUAAGCAUGACAGCUAAUCAUCUGACCAUCAUAAAU